rnacentral:rRNA from 1 species
UAAGGAAUAUUGGUCAAUGGACGCAAGUCUGAACCAGCCAUGCCGCGUGAAGGAUUAAGGUACUCUGGAUUGUAAACUUCUUUUAUCUGGGACGAAAAAAGGCGAUUCUUCGUCACUUGACGGUACCAGAUGAAUAAGCACCGGCUAACUCCGUGCCAGCAGCCGCGGUAAUACGGAGGGUGCAAGCGUUAUCCGGAUUCACUGGGUUUAAAGGGUGCGUAGGCGGGCAGGUAAGUCAGUGGUGAAAUCCUAGAGCUUAACUCUAGAACUGCCAUUGAUACUAUCUGUCUUGAAUAUUGUGGAGGUAAGCGGAAUAUGUCAUGUAGCGGUGAAAUGCUUAGAUAUGACAUAGAACACCUAUUGCGAAGGCAGCUUACUACGCAUAUAUUGACGCUGAGGCACGAAAGCGUGGGGAUCAAACA